CUGCGCUCCCGCCCACGCAGCGCAUACAGUUCCUUAGCGUAUUAGCGUCCUGGUGAGGGAGGUUGCAGCCGAGCCGGGAGGCGGCCGGGCCAGGGCAGGGUAUGAUGAUGUGUUUUCCAGAACCCCAAGAGGAGGAGGUCCAGCUCUGAUAACUCGGAAGUCCAGAAUUAGCAGAGAGAAUUGUGGAUGUAAGCUUUAGGACACCCAUUGAGCCUGGCCUCCUGGAUCAGAAUGAUAAACUGCAACAAAGAGACAGAUUCUUCACCUCUACUCUCUUUCCUUUUCCUGAGGCUGCCCUGCCCUGACUGGCUAAGAUGGGGGAAGAAUCCUUCUGGCCCAGGAAGCAUCUUCUCUAAUUCUUGUCCCAAGAGAAGCCAGAGAUGGUGGUUUCAAAUGUAUACUUGGAUUUGGAUCAAUAAAGUCCUUUACCUGAAUCUUAGGACCCCCUCAUACCCAAUACUAAGCAAUGGGACUCAGAAGGUGGGGAAGACAGAUCAGACCUAGAUUGGACCCCAAGAUUCAUGGUUCUAGAAAAGGCAGAAGUACAAAUAUAUGUGUGGUUCAAUUUAUGUGUUAUAUGGAUAUGUGGGAAGAGGUGUUUAUGUGUGGGUAUGCAUAUGUGUACAUGGGCACAUAUGUGCGAGCUCCUUAGAAACAUUUCCAUCAAAUUGAGGGGGAUGAUCAUCAACUGGGGAAUGGCUAAAUAGUAUAAGAUCUUAAGAUUACGAUAGAAUGUUAUUGUGCUAUAUGCAAUGGUGAGUGGGAUGCUCUCAGAAAAACUUGGAAAGACUUACAUGAACGGAUGCAAAACGAAAUGAACAAAACCAGUAAUAGUACCAUUGUAUGAUGAUCAACUGUGAAUGACUUAGCUAUUCUUAG